UGAUUUAUAAGGGAGCUACCAUUUGAUUUUUAUGGGGGGGCUAGGAUGAAAAAUUUUGUCCUGCAUUUUUUUUUAGUUGUAAUGUCUGUCCUGCCUUUUUAUUUUUCACUCUAUUCGGUCCUGCCUUUUUUUUUAUUAGUUUAUCCUGACUUUUUUUACCUAAAUUGCAUCCUGCCUUUUUUUUUUGCAAAGUGUCUCAUCCUGCCUUUUUUUUACUCAAAACUCCUGUCCUGCCUAUUUUUUUCAAAUUUCAUCCCAGCCCCCCCAUAAAAAUCAAAUGGUAGCUCCCUUA
rnacentral:lncRNA from 1 species